rnacentral:misc_RNA from 1 species
AGUUGAGUUGAAUGCUUCUAGCCAUUGGAUGAAAAUAUUAAACUUCAUUAACCAGGGUUUUAAAGAAUGACAUCAUUUGCAGUAUUAUAAUGUAUUGGUUUGUAUAACUUUGUUAAAAUAAAGGCUUCAUGUUGUUUGAUGUUAUCAUGAUUUUUUUAAAUUAAGCAAAAUCACUCAAAUUUUAUGAAGAUCCUCAACAUCUAAAAUCAAUUAUGAAUAUGAUUUUGUUACUUAUUGUAAAAUAUAGCUGAUGAUACAACCAUUGGGAUGCUACAGUUAUUGGCUUUCUCCUCGAGCUUAUCUGGACAUUAAUAUAGUUUUUAAUUUUCAUAUAACUUUAUUCUGGGGAUAUUGCAUUAUAAAAUAUUUU